rnacentral:rRNA from 1 species
GAGGAUCAUUACCGAGUUGAUUCGAGCUCCGGCUCGACUCUCCCACCCCAUGUGUACCCUACCUCUGGUUGCUUUGGCGGGCCGCGGUCCUCCGCACCGACCCCCGAUUCGGGGGCCGGCCAGCGCCCGCCAGAGGACCACAAAACUCCAGUCAGUAAACGUCGCAGUCUGAGAAACAAGUUAAUAAACUAAAACUUUCAACAACGGAUCUCUUGGUUCUGGCAUCGAUGAAGAACGCAGCGAAAUGCGAUAAGUAAUGUGAAUUGCAGAAUUCAGUGAAUCAUCGAAUCUUUGAACGCACAUUGCGCCCCUUGGUAUUCCGAGGGGCAUGCCUGUUCGAGCGUCAUUUCAACCCUCAAGCUCUGCUUGGUAUUGGGCUCCGUCCUCCGCGGACGCGCCUCGAAGACCUCGGCGGUGGCGUCUUGCCUCAAGCGUAGUAGAAAACACCUCGCUUUGGAGCAGCAUGGCGUCGCCCGCCGGACGAACCUUUGAAUUUUUCUCAAGGUUGACCUCGGAUCAGGU